GACGAACGCUGGCGGCGUGCUUAACACAUGCAAGUCGAACGGAAAGGCCCCCUUGUGGGGUACUCGAGUGGCGAACGGGUGAGUAACACGUGAGUAACCUACCCUUGACUUUGGGAUAACUUCAGGAAACUGGGGCUAAUACCGGAUAGGAGCUCCUGCUGCAUGGUGGGGGUUGGAAAGUUUCGGCGGUUGGGGAUGGACUCGCGGCUUAUCAGCUUGUUGGUGGGGUAGUGGCUCACCAAGGCUUUGACGGGUAGCCGGCCUGAGAGGGUGACCGGCCACAUUGGGAAUGAAUUCCGGCCCGGACCCCUACGGGGGCAGCAAGUGGGGAUUAUGGAACAUGGGGCGGAGCCUGGAUGCAGCACCGCCGCGUGGGGGAUGACGCCCUGCGGUUUGAAACCCGUUUGCGCCGGUGACGAAGCGUGAGGGCGGGAAGGGGGUAAAGAAACCCGGACAACCACGGUC
rnacentral:rRNA from 1 species